GGGUUGUGAGGUUAAGCGACUAAGCGUACACGGUGGAUGCCCUGGCAGUCAGAGGCGAUGAAGGACGUGCUAAUCUGCGAAAAGCGUCGGUAAGGUGAUAUGAACCGUUAUAGCCGGCGAUGUCCGAAUGGGGAAACCCAGUGCAAUUCGUUGCACUAUCGUUAACUGAAUACAUAGGUUAACGAGGCGAACCGGGGGAACUGAAACAUCUAAGUACCCCGAGGAAAAGAAAUCAACCGAGAUUCCCCCAGUAGCGGCGAGCGAACGGGGAGCAGCCCAGAGUCUGAAUCAGCUUGUGUGUUAGUGGAACGGUCUGGAAAGUCCGACGGUACAGGGUGAUAGUCCCGUACACCAAAAUGCACAGGUUGUGAACUCGAAGAGUAGGGCGGGACACGUGGUAUCCUGUCUGAAUAUGGGGGGACCAUCCUCCAAGGCUAAAUACUCCUGACUGACCGAUAGUGAACCAGUACCGUGAGGGAAAGGCGAAAAGAACCCCGGCGAGGGGAGUGAAAAAGAACCUGAAACCGUGUACGUACAAGCAGUGGGAGCACCUUCGGGUGUGACUGCGUACCUUUUGUAUAAUGGGUCAGCGACUUAUAUUCUGUAGCAAGGUUAACCGUAUAGGGGAGCCGCAGGGAAACCGAGUCUUAACUGGGCGUUAAGUUGCAGGGUAUAGACCCGAAACCCGGUGAUCUAGCCAUGGGCAGGUUGAAGGUUGGGUAACACUAACUGGAGGACCGAACCGACUAAUGUUGAAAAAUUAGCGGAUGACUUGUGGCUGGGGGUGAAAGGCCAAUCAAACCGGGAGAUAGCUGGUUCUCCCCGAAAGCUAUUUAGGUAGCGCCUCGUGAACUCAUCUUCGGGGGUAGAGCACUGUUUCGGCUAGGGGGUCAUCCCGACUUACCAACCCGAUGCAAACUACGAAUACCGAAGAAUGUUAUCACGGGAGACACACGGCGGGUGCUAACGUCCGUCGUGAAGAGGGAAACAACCCAGACCGCCAGCUAAGGUCCCAAAGUCAUGGUUAAGUGGGAAACGAUGUGGGAAGGCACAGACAGCCAGGAUGUUGGCUUAGAAGCAGCCAUCAUUUAAAGAAAGCGUAAUAGCUCACUGGUCGAGUCGGCCUGCGCGGAAGAUGUAACGGGGCUAAACCAUGCACCGAAGCUGCGGCAGCGACACUAUGUGUUGUUGGGUAGGGGAGCGUUCUGUAAGCCUGCGAAGGUGACCUGUGAGGGUUGCUGGAGGUAUCAGAAGUGCGAAUGCUGACAUAAGUAACGAUAAAGCGGGUGAAAAGCCCGCUCGCCGGAAGACCAAGGGUUCCUGUCCAACGUUAAUCGGGGCAGGGUGAGUCGACCCCUAAGGCGAGGCCGAAAGGCGUAGUCGAUGGGAAACAGGUUAAUAUUCCUGUACUUGGUGUUACUGCGAAGGGGGGACGGAGAAGGCUAUGUUAGCCGGGCGACGGUUGUCCCGGUUUAAGCAUGUAGGCUGGUUGUCCAGGCAAAUCCGGAUAAUCAAGGCUGAGGUGUGAUGACGAGGCACUACGGUGCUGAAGUAACAAAUGCCCUGCUUCCAGGAAAAGCCUCUAAGCAUCAGGUAACAUUGAAUCGUACCCCAAACCGACACAGGUGGUCAGGUAGAGAAUACCAAGGCGCUUGAGAGAACUCGGGUGAAGGAACUAGGCAAAAUGGUGCCGUAACUUCGGGAGAAGGCACGCUGGUGUGUAGGUGAAGUCCCUGCGGAUGGAGCUGAGACCAGUCGAAGAUACCAGCUGGCUGCAACUGUUUAUUAAAAACACAGCACUGUGCAAACACGAAAGUGGACGUAUACGGUGUGACGCCUGCCCGGUGCCGGAAGGUUAAUUGAUGGGGUUAUCCGUAAGGAGAAGCUCUUGAUCGAAGCCCCGGUAAACGGCGGCCGUAACUAUAACGGUCCUAAGGUAGCGAAAUUCCUUGUCGGGUAAGUUCCGACCUGCACGAAUGGCGUAAUGAUGGCCAGGCUGUCUCCACCCGAGACUCAGUGAAAUUGAACUCGCUGUGAAGAUGCAGUGUACCCGCGGCAAGACGGAAAGACCCCGUGAACCUUUACUAUAGCUUGACACUGAACAUUGAGCCUUGAUGUGUAGGAUAGGUGGGAGGCUUUGAAGCGUGGACGCCAGUCUGCGUGGAGCCAACCUUGAAAUACCACCCUUUAAUGUUUGAUGUUCUAACGUUGGCCCCUGACCGGGGUUGCGGACAGUGUCUGGUGGGUAGUUUGACUGGGGCGGUCUCCUCCCAAAGCGUAACGGAGGAGCACGAAGGUUAGCUAAUCCUGGUCGGACAUCAGGAGGUUAGUGCAAUGGCAUAAGCUAGCUUGACUGCGAGCGUGACGGCGCGAGCAGGUGCGAAAGCAGGUCAUAGUGAUCCGGUGGUUCUGAAUGGAAGGGCCAUCGCUCAACGGAUAAAAGGUACUCCGGGGAUAACAGGCUGAUACCGCCCAAGAGUUCAUAUCGACGGCGGUGUUUGGCACCUCGAUGUCGGCUCAUCACAUCCUGGGGCUGAAGUAGGUCCCAAGGGUAUGGCUGUUCGCCAUUUAAAGUGGUACGCGAGCUGGGUUUAGAACGUCGUGAGACAGUUCGGUCCCUAUCUGCCGUGGGCGCUGGAGAAUUGAGGGGGGCUGCUCCUAGUACGAGAGGACCGGAGUGGACGCAUCACUGGUGUUCGGGUUGUCAUGCCAAUGGCACUGCCCGGUAGCUAAAUGCGGAAGAGAUAAGUGCUGAAAGCAUCUAAGCACGAAACUUGCCCCGAGAUGAGUUCUCCCUGAGACUUUAAGUCUCCUGAAGGAACGUUGAAGACGACGACGUUGAUAGGCCGGGUGUGUAAGCGCAGCGAUGCGUUGAGCUAACCGGUACUAAUGAACCGUGAGGCUUAACCUUACAACGCCGAAG
rnacentral:rRNA from 1 species